AGGAUAUCCUGUUUGCCAGUCCUUUUUGCUCAUGGUGAUUGACAUGUGAACAUCAUCAAUCUGGGGCUCCAAAAGAUUGCAUUUAUUCUGAAUUUUGGAAAAUUAUCAUCAAUUAAAAAAUUUUAAUAACUCUCUGAGAUGAAGCAGGGAGGGAUGACAUACUGGAGUUCCAUAAGGCAAAAAGCCUGAAGUGGCGGAAUAAAGAGAACCAUUCCACCUGUGCCACAAUGGAAUAUCAGAACCAGUGGAUUACUUCCACCACCUUUUUCACAGAGAAAUAAUCGAAGAAGUUGUAAGGCGAACUAAUCUAUAUGCAUUGCAGCAUGAUGUCACCAGACCCCUCAUUGUUACUGUUGCAGAAAUGGCGUGUGCUUCUACAUGUCUAUCCACGUCUUGCCAAAAACCAGGUUGUACUGGAACCCACAAACAAGGGUGGAGAUGGUUGCAAGCACCAUGAGUUUAAAUAGAUCGGGAAAAUAUAAAGAUACAUCUCCACUUUGCUGACAACAACAAUCAGGUACCAGGGGGCGAUAAGCUGUUCAAAGUGAGACCUGUCCUCAACGUCCUUAAUGACAACUUCAGGAGCAUAGCCAUGGAUGAAAUGCUCUGUGUUGAUGAGCAGAUUGUGCCAUUCAAGAGGAAGAGACAACUGAAGCAGUACGUACCAAGGAAGCCAAAGGCUACAAGAUCUUCAUCAGCAGACCAGCAUGGCAUUGUGUGUACACAGCGUCCAUUCAACUCUGUCCUGGAUUCCCUGAUAUUGGUGCUAGUGGAAACAUUGUGCUGAAGUUGGCCUCAGCUAUCCCCACCGACAUUUCACACAAAUAGUUUUUUGACAACUGGUUCUGCAGUGUGGACCUGCAGGUACUCCUGGAGAAACAAAAGAUCCAUAGUGUCGGAACUGUGAGACAGGGCCGUCUUGCAGGCUGCACAUUUAUGGAUGAUUGUGCCAUGAAAGCUAAAGGACGAGGAACACAUGAACACCACUCGCGAUGGUGUGAACCUCUGGGCUGUGAAAUGUUUUGACAACCGUCAUGUGACACUCCUAAGUACAUUUGUGGCAGCAAACCUCACCACACAAGUCCUGAGAUGGGACAAAAAAGAGAAAGAGGUGGUCCAUGUCUCGCGCCCCAAUAUAGUGGCAGUCUACAACAAGAGCAUGGGGGGAGUGGAUCUUUUAGAUUCCUUAAUCGUCCUCUAUCGCACCAAGAUCCGGUCCAAGAAAUGGUACCACUGCAUUGUAUUCCACAUGCUUGACUUGACCCUGGUAGAGGCAUGGCUGCUUUACAGAAGAGACUGCCAGUCCCAGAUCUCCGCUGUUGCCCAUCUCCCACUGUUGGACUUCAAAAUCCAGGAGACCUUCACAAGCUGUUGUGGUGGAGAAAAAUAAAAGAGGGCCCCAAAGCUUUGUCCCACCAGAUUCCGUCUGCAGAGACAGCACCGACCACUGGCCCUUGCAUGCAUCUGAGAAGGACAGAAGCAAAAUCCCAGGAUACAAGGGCAUUGUGAGAAGCAAGAGCUCCAAGUGAGCAGUUUUCCUCUGCUUCACUGCUGAGAGGAACUGCUUUGUUGACUUUCACGAGGCUUGAAGAGAAUGAAAUAAAACAGCAAAAACAACGAAAUGAAAUGAAACAGAAUGAAUGAAUGAUGUUCCAGAUUUUGGGUUGUUAUUACCAGACAUUUCAGAUAACUGUUGAAAUUGUAUACUGUUUUUACUUUAUACAUGUUUGUUUAAACAUUUCACUACGUAUGAAAUGGAUUUGUUGAAUCUUGUUUAAAAUAAAAUGAGUUUUUGGCCAAAAA